rnacentral:rRNA from 1 species
UACGGGGGGGGCAAGCGUUGUUCGGAAUUACUGGGCGUAAAGGGCGCGUAGGCGGUUUGCUAAGUUGGAUGUGAAAACUCUGGGCUUAACCCAGAGCCUGCAUCCAAAACUGGCUGACUUGAGUACUGGAGGGGAAAGCGGAAUUCCUGGUGUAGCGGUGAAAUGCGUUGAUAUCCACAGGAACUCCGGUGGCGAAGGCGGCACGCUGGACCCCACCUGACGCUGAGGCGCGAAAGCCAGGGGAGCGAACGGG